rnacentral:rRNA from 1 species
UACGUAGGGAGCGAGCGUUGUCCGGAAUCAUUGGGCGUAAAGGGCUCGUAGGCGGCUUGGUAAGUUAGAUGUGAAACCUCCAGGCUCAACCUGGAGUCGCCAUCUAAUACUGCCAUGGCUAGAGUCUGGUAGGGGUCUACGGAACUCCUGGUGUAGCGGUGAAAUGCGCAGAUAUCAGGAAGAACACCGGUGGCGAAGGCGGUAGACUGGGCCAGUACUGACGCUGAUGAGCGAAAGCGUGGGGAGCGAACAGG